GGACUACUGGGGUAUCUAAUCCUGUUUGCUCCCCUAGCUUUCGCGCCUCAGCGUCAGUUAUGGUCCAGUGAGCCGCUUUCGCCACAGGUGUUCCUUCCGAUAUCUACGCAUUUCACCGCUACACCGGAAAUUCCACUCACCUCUCCCAUACUCAAGCCCGACAGUUUCUAAUGCAGACUCUGGGUUGAGCCCAGAGAUUUCACAUCAGACUUGUCAAACCGCCUACGCGCCCUUUACGCCCAAUAAUUCCGAACAACGCUUGCCCCCCUCGUAUUACCGCGGCUGCUGGCAC
rnacentral:rRNA from 1 species